AUUGAACGCUGGCGGCAGGCCUAACACAUGCAAGUCGAACGAGUGGCGGACGGGUGAGAAAUGUCUGGGAAACUGCCCGAUGGAGGGGGACAACUAAUGGAAACGGUAGCUAACACCGCAUACAAUCGGAUGUGACCAGAUGGGAUGAGCUUGUAGGUGGGGUAACGGCUCACCUAGGUGACGAUCCCUAGCUGGUCUGAGAGGAUGACCAGCCACACUGUAACUGAGACACGGUCCAGACUCCUACGGGAGGCAGCGGUGGGGAAUAUUGCACAAUGGGCGCAAGCCUACUGCAGCCAUGCCGCGUGUAUGAAGAAGGCCUUCGGGUUGUAAAGUACUUUCGGCGAGGAGGCGUUACUCGCAGAAGAAGCACCGGCUAACUCCGUGCCAGCAGCCGCGGUAAUAC
rnacentral:rRNA from 1 species